CACUGACACACACAACAAUCUUCAUCAACAUGACCUUCAUCAUCAUCUUCAUCUGGACUCUCACAGCGUUUGCUCAAGAGAGUAGAGGACAGAUCAGCGUCACUCAGAGUCCCUCAACGACAGCAGCUCAACCAGAAGAAACUGUCAAAAUCAACUGUAGAACCAGCAGAGAUGUGCACAGACGGAGUGAUGGGGAUGAAGAGUUAGCCUGGUACUUACAGAAACCUGGAGAAGCUCCUAAACUCCUGAUUUAUUUAGCAAAAAAACUUUACACCGGAACGCCAUCUAGAUUCAGUGGCAGUGGAUCUAAGACUGAUUUCACUCUGACCAUCAGUGGAGUCCAGACUGAAGAUGCUGGACAUUAUUACUGUCAGAGUGUACACUAUAUCAGUAGUAGCUGGGUGUUCACACAGUGAUAAAGAGUCGUACAAAAACCUCCGUCAGUCAGAGUCACAGUGAUGAACUGAUGCUGCAGCUGCUCAAACACUAUC